UACGUAGGGUGCGAGCGUUAACCGGAAUUACUGGGGCGUAAAAGUGUGCGCAGGUGGCCGCGCAAGUCGAGUGUGAAAAUCCCCGAGCUUAACUUGGGAAUUGCGCUCGAAACUACGUGGCUCGAGUGUGGCAGAGGAAGGUGGAAUUCCACGUGUAGCGGUGAAAAUGCGUAGAGAUGUGGAGGAACACCGAUGGCGAAGGCAGCCUUCUGGGCCAACACUGACGCUCAUGCACGAAAGCGUGGGGAGCAAACAGG
rnacentral:rRNA from 1 species